rnacentral:rRNA from 1 species
AUGCUGAUCUCAUUAUCCAACUACCAUGACCGCUGCGAGACAUUGAUGAUUUUCGGGCAUGGGUGUGGCCGUGUGGGAGAAAUCUGGUCUUUUCUCAGUGAGACCAGUGUCCGACAACUGUUAGAUAAUGAACAGAUUGAACAACAGCCGUCCAGUUUGUCACGCGGGGAAGAUGUUUGGAGUGCAGACUGUGGCAAUGACAAUGAGCCUCUGUUCCAUUCUCUGGUUAGGUCUGCACAUGCCAAGCUGUUUCCGAAUGCAGCGUUAGAAUUUUUCGAUUUAAAAGCUCCCGCGUCUGCAUCCAGGCACUUGGGCCAUGGAUAUUUUGGACUCGGCAAUGGUUAA